rnacentral:lncRNA from 1 species
GAAGAUGGAGAAGCACCCCCAGAAGUUGCCUAAGUGUGUGCCUCCUGACGAAGCCUGCACCUCGCUGGACGCCUCGAUAAUCUGGGCCAUGAUGCAGAAUAAGAAGACGUUCACUAAGCCCCUUGCUGUGAUCCACCAUGAAGCAGAAUCUAAAGAAAAAGGUCCAAGCAUGAAGGAACCAAAUCCAAUUUCUCCACCAAUUUUCCAUGGUCUGGACACCCUAACCGUGAUGGGCAUUGCGUUUGCAGCCUUUGUGAUCGGAGCACUCCUGACGGGGGCCUUGUGGUACAUCUAUUCUCACACAGGGGAGACAGCAGGAAGGCAGCAAGUCCCCACCUCCCCGCCAGCCUCGGAAAACAGCAGUGCUGCCCACAGCAUCGGCAGCACGCAGAGCACGCCUUGCUCCAGCAGCAGCACGGCCUAGCCCAACCCAGCCCAACCCGGCCCAACCCAGCCCAGCCCAGCUCAGCUCAGCUACUGCCAAGGGCAGGACCAAUGGCUGAGCCUCGUGUCCAGACUCAGAGGGCUGGAUUUUGGUUCCCUUGUAAAGACAGAGUGAAUUUCAGUAUAAAGAUCACCCGUUGUAUUCACCCCACACCCAGGGCUAGUAUAAACAUGACCCUGGGCUUCUGUACCACACUAGAAUUCAUGUGAGAAAGCUAAAAUGGUGGUCUUCUCCACCAGCCCCUCACAGGCUUGGGGGUUUUCAAUGUGAAACACAUGCCAGUUUUUAAAAUGCUGCUUUGUCCAGGUGAGAACAUCCAUAAUUUGGGGCCCUGAGUUUUACCCAGACUCAAGGAGUUGGUAAAGGGUUAAUAGCCAGAUAGUAGAACCAGUGAGGAGAUGCGGCCAAAGAUUCUUUAUAUCUGAACCAAGAUGUAAAACAAGAAAUGCUUUGAGGCUUUCUAAGCGAUCCUCCUGUCUAAUUUGCACCUUUGUCUGGAUGCACACUUCUGACCUUGCUGCCACAACCUGUGGGGUCUGAUGUGUCCCUUGAUGGGUGCUGCCCUCAGGGACUGCACCCUGACAAGUGUUAAGGCAACAUUCCUUUCUUGUGCCCUGGGCCAAAACCAAUGCUGAUGACCUUAUCAGCUUCCUGUUUCUUCCCAUACUUGCAUACACCACUGCAAAAUGUCUUAAUGCAAAUUUUGUAUUUCUUACAGGCCUACAGAAAUUGAAAAUGACCAAAAUCAGGAACCACAGAUUUGUGCCCAUUCCUAAUAUUUUGUUCUGCAAAUUAAUGUAUAAUUUGAGGUGAAAUUCAGUUAUAAAGUCAAGGACGAAUUUGCACAGUGAUAUAUUUCUAUGUGUAUGCAAGUACAAGUAUAUAAUAUGUCACCUGGCACAUUCAUUUUCUCAGUUGAAGAAGAGAAAAUUUGAAAAUGUCCUUAUGCUUUUAGAGUUGCAACUUAAGUAUAUUUGGUAGGGUGAGUGUUUCCACUCAAA